rnacentral:tRNA from 1 species
AUUAGGUUAGCAAAGUUAAGUGCAAAUAAUUUAGAAUUAUUAUACGAGAAAAAUCUCACCUAAUA